rnacentral:rRNA from 1 species
GAUGAACGCUGGCGGCGUGCCUAAUACAUGCAAGUCGAGCGAACGGACGAGAAGCUUGCUUUUCUGAUGUUAGCGGCGGACGGGUGAGUAAAACGUGGAUAACCUACCUAUAAGACUGGGAUAACUUCGGGAAACCGGAGCUAGUACCGGAUAAUAUUUUGAACCGCAUGGUUCAAAAGUGAAAGACGGUCUUGCUGUCACUUAUAGAUGGAUCCGCGCUGCAUUAGCUAGUUGGUAAGGUAACGGCUUACCAAGGCAACGAUGCAUAGCCGACCUGAGAGGGUGAUCGGCCACACUGGAACUGAGACACGGUCCAGACUCCUACGGGAGGCAGCAGUAGGGAAUCUUCCGCAAUGGGCGAAAGCCUGACGGAGCAACGCCGCGUGAGUGAUGAAGGUCUUCGGAUCGUAAAACUCUGUUAUUAGGGAAGAACAUAUGUGUAAGUAACUGUGCACAUCUGGACGGUACCUAAUCAGAAAGCCACGGCUAACUACGU